AACAGCCAAUGGGAGAAGGAGUGGGCGGGCUCAGGAGAUAAAAGGUGGGAGGGGCUGAAAUGCUGCAGUGCCACCAAUCACUGCAGGGAACAAGUGCGAUGCAUUUAGCUCGCUGCAGCUGCUUGGGAUCAGGGUAAGUGGUGCCUUGUGUCCAAGGGAAAUUUGGUGGGGGGUGGGAGGGGUUAGUGAAUUUCUUAAAGGGAUGUGGUUGUUGGAGGCAGAAGAGGGACAACCCCCUUGAAGCCCCUAAGGCGUGUGGGGGAAACACCCGAGAAGGGACUGAGGGUUUGACAUCUGCGGAGAGCGGAUCCGAGGGAGGAGAAAAGGUGUGUUCAGGGCGGUGAAUUGAUCGGCUUGGUGGCGUUUCUCUGUGUCAUGCUGACUCUGGGAAGCUGCAGCUGAUCGGCUGCAGGAUGGCAGGGGUUGGUCUGUGUGGAUCAAAGAGCCGGGCGCUGGCAGCACCUUCCAGCAUCACCGCCCCCAGCUCAGCUCUGGCCCUGGCCCCGGGGCGUCUGGCAGCCCAGGAAUACGAACUAUAGAUCUGAUCUGAACUGCGUGUGUGUGAAGGAACACAGAUGUCACUCCGGCAUUCGCUUCAAACCUGCUGUUCCAGCCCUGCCUCUCUGGGGUACCAGCCAGGUUGAAGUCAUCCCUGCUGGGGCCCCACCGAAAAUGUUCGAAUUGGGCCCCGCACUUCCUAAAGCCGGCCCUGGAGCUGAACUGACUAGCCCAGGGUCAUGCCAGGAGCUUGUGACAUUGCUGGGAACUGAACCAAGUCGUCCUGGUCAGCAGAUCAGUGCUGUCACCAUCCUUUGUUGGGACUGAGAGGUAAGAUCUAGGGUGGAGCCCUAAAGGGUAUGUCUACAUUGCGAUUACGCCCAGGGUUAGUAGAGCUUGAGUGAGCAGAUCCUGGGUUUGUUACCCUAGGACUUGAGCGGACGUUGAUGAUGUUCAUAAUUUUGACAGAUAAUAUUGAUGUUUAUUUUACAGUUUUGUUUAAAAGAUUUUUAUCAAUUUUAAAUGUUCACAGCUGUGCAAAAUUAUGGGUUUUAAGCCUUUGAAAAAUGUUUAUGUAAAUGCUCGCAGUUGUGGGAAAUUAAUUGUCUGACUCCCCCUCCCUCAAUUAAUGACAAUAGAUGUUGAGAUUUAAACAGUUAAAGCUUUAUAACCUUUAAAACACAAAUUCCGACACCUCAUGUCAAAACAUACCAGGAAAUACACGUCAAACAAACCCCAAUCGGUUCUCAAGCAGCAUUUUCCUUUCUUUGCCUGUCUGUGAAGCUCGAUAAUUGUGGCUGGAAAUAUUUUGUUCACAUGCGCCCCAACCAAGUAGCUUUUGUAAAACCCUGGAAUUUUUCAGUUAAAACUGAAAACAAAUGGCAUUCCGUAUAAUAAGCAUU